rnacentral:lncRNA from 1 species
AGGACUAUCUGAAAGGCUUUGACAGGAGUGCCUCUUUAGUGCUUGAGGCAUCUUUUGCUCUGUCUGACCAAUUUUUUAGCACAAGAUUUUCUUCUCAGUUAAGACAAAAAAAAAAAAAAGAUGUCUACCCAAAGACUGUCUGUGCUUUCUCCCCUUCUGUUCUUCUGCUUCUUCAGAGAGAGUUUCUCCAUUUGUGACGGAACAACGUGGACAAAGGUCGGAUGGGAGAUUUUUCCAGAGGAAGUGCACUACCUGAAAGUUAAGGUUCCCCCAUCCAGCUGCCUACCUUAUCCUCUGGACAAACUCUGCUGCAACUUUGCUAACAUGGACCUCUUACAGAGCUCCUUACACCUCACUUACAUCUUAGUACAAGCUCUCUGCUUAAUCCUGUUUGCUUUAUCUGUGCAUUACCUAUGGAUGAAAUGGACAAGACACCAAAAAAAGCUGAAAAAGCAAGCUUCCUUAGAGAAACACGCUAAUGGCCUAGACCUGAGCCCAUCCAUCCAUGACAUUGAACAAAUCCUCUGCAGACUACUGGCCACAACAUCAAUGAUGACCAAGUUCCUGAAGCACGUGUCUCACCACUCUUCUGUUAAGAAAGCUAAGCAACAACGUAAAUUAAGGAAGAAGAAGAGUAAGGGAGAAGAGGAGCAGAAGAUCACUGCUAUCCCUAAGCUCGUGCAAAUGUAGCUUGGUCAAGUGCGGAGAGGACAAAAGCUCGUGCAAAUGUACCUUGGUCAAGUGCGGAGUAUAAAAGAAAUCUAUUGCAGGGACUGUCUGAGGACACAAAGGUUUCUUUGGGGGCUUGCUUUUUUUUUUUUUUUUUUGCCACAAUCAUUACAGAAAAAUUCUCAGACGAGCUCUCGGUUUCCGCUCAACUGAAAACGAAUCCACUCUUUCUAACGUGGCUUCCAGAAUAAACUGAGAACACCUUAACUGGAACUUCAGGGUGUAAUCUAGUGGAAAGGAAACUAAAACUCAGAGACGCUAAGAAACUUGGCUUAAGGAACCAGUAAUGAUGGAUGCAAGAUAUCAACCAACAUGGGCAGCCUGACUCCUGAGUCCCUCCACAUCUGCUAAGUAUGACAGCAAGCUGCACUUUGGAACAAUCAGCCUAUGAUUUAAAAGAAUUUUCAUCAAACUCUAAUUACCAGACCUUUAUUGUUAACACAGUUUUCAAAAUC